rnacentral:rRNA from 1 species
UACGUAGGGUGCGAGCGUUAAUCGGAAUUACUGGGCGUAAAGCGUGCGCAGGCGGUUUUGCAAGCCGGAUGUGAAAUCCCCGGGCUUAACCUGGGAAUGGCAUUUGGGACUGCAAGGCUGGAGUGCGGCAGAGGAGACUGGAAUUCCUGGUGUAGCAGUGAAAUGCGUAGAUAUCAGGAGGAACACCGAGUGGCGAAGGCAGGUCUCUGGGACGUGACUGACGCUGAGACGCGAAAGCGUGGGGGAGCAAACAGG